ACAGGGUUCAUCUUAUUCUGGAAGCAGGCAGUAUGGUGGACAGGGCUCAUCUUAUGGAGGCCAAUCACAUGGUAAACCAGGUUCAUCUUCCUCAGGAGGCAGAAAUCAAGGAAA